UACGGGGGGGGGCAAGCGUUGUUCGGAAUUACUGGGCGUAAAGCGCGCGUAGGCGGCUUUGUAAGUUAGAGGUGAAAGCCCGGAGCUCAACUCCGGAACUGCCUUUAAAACUGCAUCGCUUGAAUCCAGGAGAGGUGAGUGGAAUUCCGAGUGUAGAGGUGAAAUUCGUAGAUAUUCGGAAGAACACCAGUGGCGAAGGCGGCUCACUGGACUGGUAUUGACGCUGAGGAGCGAAAGCCAGGGGAGCAAACGGG
rnacentral:rRNA from 1 species